CCUUUUUGUACUUAAGAUGAAUCAUGUCAUGAAAGCAUGUUUAUUGCUAUUAUCCGUUAAUUAAAAGAUGACAAAUGUAGGAUCGUGUUCCCUUAUUCCAAGAUGUUACAACCAGAAACUUGAUUGCCUUAUGCAAUUCCCUGAUAAACUAUUACACAUAAAAUUAGGCACAUGAAACCAUACAUGUUACCAUACCAUUUAGGAACUACUGUAAUAAAACACAUACCUCAUACAAUUUAACAACCAUGGCAACAAGAAAUAUUUCAACCCUAUUCCAUCUACUAUUCAUAGUUUGGACAUGCCCCAUCUACUUAUUGGCUCAGAAGGACUAAGGCCCGAGGCCUCUUCUUUCAAGGCCUUAAAACAGUCAUGCAGUAAGAUCAUUCCUGAUUGUAAAUGGCAUUUAUAGUUAAUUGAUAUUUUCAUAUGCAAUAUCUAAAUUGUAAAGUCUAUAAAUCAAUAUUUUAAAAAGAAUUAAUGCUGCGGGACAGGUAUUUUGGCUCCCGGGUGCAUUUGCACCCGGUUAAACAGUAACCCGAAAAUUAAUAGUAAAUGUUUUCAAUUAAUUCUGAAUUUAUUAAUAGAUAUGCGUGUUACUUUCUCAAGCAUGCUUGACAAUUUUCUCGGGAAACAUAGCAGUGGUGUUUAGUCGGUGAAGUAAAUAAAUUUGGGUAUUACAUUAUUGAUGUUUAAUUUGUUUUUUGUUUUUUGCACGCGACAAACAAAAGAGCUUUCCAUCAUGCCCUAAUGGAACCUCAUAGGCUGAAAUGGACAUGCGUGAUCGUAUUCCAACGGAUCCAGAUAUCUUGGGCAAGAUCUCGGACUGCAGUUCCGAAACAUGUCGAUGACCAGAUCGAGGAGGACUGAUCAUGCAGGAAGUUGUCGUGAUGCAAGGGGAGUGCGAUGAGCUCGAGGACAGCUACCAUGGCCAAGGACAAACCAACCUAGAUCCAGAUCUAGAUCGAUGGGGGGGGGGGAUCACCACGACUACGGGCUGCAUACAUGCGCAGCCACCACCGUCCUUCCGCCGCCCAGGCACCCACGACUGCACGAAGGAGUGCAAUGCCUUGAGCUGCCGCAACAUCCCCCAGCUCAACGACAGUCGCCCAGGAAUGCCACGGCGCUGCCCCCGCCCGAUCCAUGCGAACUUUGCCUGGCAAAGAGCAUAGUGCGGCGGCGAGGGGAGGGGGAGCAUGGGGUAAGGCCUUGAACGGGCAUGGAUUCUCCUCCGCCCGAGUGGCACCGGGAAGGACGACACGGGGGCAUGAGUCCUUCGUACGCCUACAGUAUAAGGUUCGCUUAACAAUGGCGAUGUGUCUCACUAGUAGUAGAUACAUAUAUUAUGAUCGUUUUCUCUUUGGUGUCACUUUCAUAUACUGUGUACGUAUUACAUAGGGGUACGUAGCGUUGCCCCUCGGGUGAAAAUCUUUCCUCCAAAAUAUUCUUAAUAACUAGUCUUUUGUCUACCGUUUACCAGAAAAAAAAAUAGUCAAUCAUCUACCCAAAAAAAAAAAACAAUACUCAACUAGUCACGCGAUCAACAUGACAACAUGGUGGCCAGAGUUUUCUCCUGUUGAUUUUUAGACGAUGACGCGCACACGAUCAACCGAUACUACGCGGGUCCUUGGUCGCCACGUAAGGAUGGGCAGAGCGUCCAACUGUUCUAUGGUUUCCAACGAUGACAUUUCCUUUUAUUGACAGGAGAUCUGUCAAAUUCAUUCAAUAAAAAAAUGUAUUACAAGUUACACAUCCAAAGAAACGAUGUAAGCAUAAGUUGAGUGUUAAAAAGAAAAAUAAAAAAUAGAAAAAUGACUGGUCGGUUUAUGAACAAGAACCACACGAAAACAUAAACAUUGUAUAUCUAGACCAAGCCUAAAGCAUAUCUAGACCAAGCCUAAAGCACCGCAAUACAGACAUCAAUUCAGAAGGCAAACACCAUAGAACAAACCUGGCCUGGUCAGGCACCCAAACACUGACACCGCUAUCAAAGUGCACUCCCAAAACCCUCGUAUAUAUUAAACCAGGCUGCCACAAGCAUAUUUUUAAAACUCGGCGACAUCAAAGAGGAUUGCUAUGUGCAAUCACUUCUGCUUCGGUACACCCCGCCUAACAUGGUCAUUUCACGUAUACGCUCUAAUUGUUUUAUGUACACGCACACCCUCCCCUUAUGGGCCGGCCCAUUCAUGCUUUGUUUAUUUUUAUUUUUGAAACAGCAAAAAGAGAAUGUGUUGUGCAGGAUUCGAACUAUCCACCUUUUAGAAUUACCACAGCCGCACAAACAAACUAGGCACGCGAUUUGACAUGCUACAUACUUUUUUUUUUUAACACAAAAGUGCUAUUCACACUAUUCUUUGUUUGUUUUUCUUUUUCUCUUUAUAUUUUGGAAAAGUCUAUCCUUCAACCGGCUGAUCUGCGCAAUCCAUCCACCACCUGCUCGUCCGUUCGAUCCCGCCAUCGCAAUCGUUUCUUGACGUUUUCUGAAACUGGAUCGUUGUUUCCGCAACUGGAGCGUUGUUUCGGAAAACUGCCCAGUCCAUGUCUCCGCCUCCGCCUCAGCCCCGACAACCUCGCCGCCGCCGGCCUGCUACGGCUCGCCGCCCUCCGCCGUCGGCCUCGCGUGCCCUCCGUUGCCGCCCCUGCUCGUCGCCCGCCCGCGGUCCCACCGGCCUGCCACAAGGCCCGCAACCCCUGAUCGGCGGCGUCGCCGGCCUGCGUGUGGCCCCGCCGCACUCCGCAGCCGGCCUGCGCGCGGCACCGCCAGCCUGCCAGCGGCCUCGCGUGCCCCUCUGUCACCGCCCCGCCGCCCCUGCUUCUGCAACGUGACUUUCGUUGCAAAAUUUUCUGAAACUCGACCGUUGUUGCAAAAAAUUCUUCCGUAAAAAUACUUAUGUUACAGAAAGAUGAAGAAAAAAAUUCUGCAACAAGCAAAUUGUUUCUGAAACUCGACCGUUGUUUCAGGAAUUAACGGAUCCAAAGUUUAUUUCUUGCAAAAAAGCGAAAGUUUCUGCAACUCGAGCGUCGUUUCAGGAAUUAAGUACAGGAGCGGAUCGGACGCUACGCGCGAGAUCUAAUGGUUGUCGAGGCGGUGGAUGUUUAAUAAAUAUCCACCGAUAGAUGCGUAGCAGCCCCCUUAUAUUUUCCUUAUAUUUUUUUGGUUUCCUUUUCCAUUCUAAAUGCCCGAGCUUUCUAAAACUGGUGACAUUUUUUCAAAAUUGAUAAUUUUUUCUUCAAUUUCGUUAAUUUUUUUUCAAAAUCGGUGAGCUUUUUCCAAAACUCAUGAAGUUUUUGCUAAAUUCGUAAACUAUUUCCCAAAUAGGCAAACUUUUUUUGAAUGUUAAUGAACUUUUUUAUAAAAUUGAUGAAAUAUUUUUCAGAAUAAUUAACCUUCUUUGAAGCAUCCAUGUCAAGUUUGGAAGAAACAAUAUAUUUAAAAUCAUAAUUUAAAUAGGUACUUAAAAUUGUUAUUGGUUUGGUAAGAAACUGUCUCAAUCUAAUGAUGCCUAGACCACCACAACCCCAUGGGGGGAACGGGUAGAAUUUAUUGAAUAAAAGGUGAAUCAACCUAGGUAUGUGUAAAAGGUAGGUGAGUGAUGGAGGAGUUCUUCAAUGCCCACACACCGUACUGCAUUUUUAUUCACCUACCUCCAGCUUUGACCGUCUUGAUCACUACAUGGCUAUUAUAAAUUUGCACUCGGUCAUGAUCGAUGUUAGUGUUCACCUGUCUUGCCUAGGCUAGGCAGCUACAUUCGAGCGGUUGUGUCGUCGCUUCACAACAUGAAAGGGUUACUCCCUGAAUGCUAGCCAUGUAUGAGCGCACGCCAUUGAUUAACUAGUAUGAGGUAGGAUUGUGAGGUAUCAGAAUUUUGACACAGCAGUAAACGAAAGGAGGUAUCUGCACAAGGGCUUCUAUGUGUACGACUAGUUCAUGCGCAGUUAUAGAGGUGAUAGAUGCUCCAUCCCAAGAGCAAGGAACGGGAAAAAAAGGGAAUCGAGCUAGGGUGAGAUUGCGGAGUUGUGUGGUGAGCGUGUUAAGAAUGUGUCGCGGAUGGAAGAGACGGGCUGGCUCGCUACGGUUUGAAUGAGCUUGUCAUAAUCAACGGUGCUGCUCCACCAGGGAGACCGUUAGGCCUGGAGCACAGUAGGACACUAGUGUUUGCAUGCUCACUUGAGCGCCCCGACCUUCAUGUGAUGAGAUCGUUGUGGUCACGCCCACCUCUCUAUGAAAUUGGGAUUAUAGGUAGUUCUCUCUCUCUCCCUCCCUCCCUCCAUCCAUCCAUCCAUCUCUCUCUCUCCCUCCCUCCCUCUCUCUCUCUCUCUUCCUCCCUCUCCCUCUCCCUCCCUCUCUCUCUCUCUCACACACACACACAUACACACACACACAAAAACAUCAUGCGAUAUUUUGAAAGAAGACAAAUUUUGACAAAAAUCAGAAAAUGUGUCACCAAUCACAAAACAAGAGCGGACGAUGGAUACAUAUGCAUGGUAUAUCACGAGCAUGAUAAACGGAACUGCUCGGCACAUCAUAAGAUUAACGGAACUGCUCGGCGCAUGAUAUUGGUGCACGAUUUUGUUACCAGCACGACGUGGCGGAUGCGUUGCUUCGAGCAAUUCAUGUAGGCGCACCUCUCCUUGAUGGCAGGUUGCACCGCGUGAUUGACGGCCGCCUCGAUGGAGCUGACGAGCUGGGCUUUCCAAUCCAUGGAAUUAUUGAUGAAUGGUGAAAUUGGAAGGAAAGGAAGGUGGGAAUGGCUCUGAAUUUUAAUUGUUAGCAACACUCUAGUAUAUAGACCAAUUGUUCACUGAUUCUAACUAUAAGCCAUUGAUU
rnacentral:lncRNA from 1 species